GACGAACGCUGGCGGCGUGCUUAACACAUGCCAGUCGAACGAAGAGCGACGGAAGCUUGCUUCUAUCAAUCUUAGUGGCGAACGGGUGAGUAACGCGUAAUCAACCUGCCCUUCAGUGGGGGACAACAGUUGGAAACGACUGCUCAUACCGCAUACGAUCUAACCUCGGCAUCGAGGAUAGAUGAAAGGUGGCCUCUACAUGUAAGCUAUCACUGAAGGAGGGGAUUGCGUCUGAUUAGCUAGUUGGAGGGGUAACGGCCCACCAAGGCGAUGAUCAGUAGCCGGUCUGAGAAGAUGAACGGCCAACUUGGGAAUGAGACACGGCCCAGACUCCCACGGGAGGCAGCAGUGGGGAAUCUUCCGCAAUGGACGAAAGGCUGACGGAACAACGCCGCGGGAGUGAUGACGGCCUUCGGGUUGGAAAGCUCUGUUAAUCGGGACGAAAGGCCUUCUUGCGAAUAGUGAGAAGGAUUGACGGUACCGGAAGAGAAAGCCACGGCUAACUACGUG
rnacentral:rRNA from 1 species